AUGGCCUGGUCUAGCUGUUGGUCAGAGUCUAAUGGUGUGAGGGUGCCAAAAGGAAUCGGCAAACUAAAAGAGCUGCAAAUACUAGAGGUUGUAGACAUCAGCCGAACUAGUUGCAAAGCAAUUAAAGAGCUAGGUGAGCUUGUGCAGCUGAGAAAACUGAGUGUGGUAACAAAAGGGGCCGCCAAGCAGAAAUGCAAGGUACUCUGUGAUGUCAUUCAGAAGCUCACUUGCCUCCACUCUCUUGAAGUGGAUGGUUCACUCGAGUGGCUGCAUGUUUUUUCCUCUCCUCCUCCCAUGUUGAGGAGUCUGAAGUUGGAUGGAUCCCUUGGAGAGGUUCCUGGCUGGGUUGGCAAUCUGAUACAUUUGGUCAAGCUUUAUUUAGGGGGCAGCGCAAUAAAGGAAGAAUGUAAAAUUUAUGGAAAUAAUAGGGCGACUUUCCAACCUCAUGGAGCUUCGUCUUGUAUACAGAUCUUAUAUUGGGGAGAAGUUAGCGUUCAAAACAGGGGCAUUCCCAAAUCCAAAGAAAUUUUACCUUAA
rnacentral:rRNA from 1 species